rnacentral:lncRNA from 1 species
ACACAGGGGAAAGAAAAUACUAAUUCCUGAAUGCUUCUUCUAUCGACCUUCGCCCUCUUAGCUUUGUCCACUCCUUGUUAUUGGCGACAUUCGUUAAUAAUCAAGUGAUUGUCAUAUAACUGUGCCAUAGAUACCAUACAGCUAUCCAAAUUAAUCAAUGUCUUGAUUAACUUGUUUUAAUUCCUUCAUCAAUCGGUGUACGAUUGAGGCAUCCUUAUACAAAAGUAAGUAAAACAAGUCUUCUCCCGAACCCCUAAAGGAUAAUGGAUUGAAUUAGAAAGGCAUACAUUUUCUUCAACUCAUAAAUAUGGUUCGUCUAUAAUUGACUCGGGGUCAAUAGAUGCAGGGCAGGUUUUCUAAUGGGCCCAAUACCUCACUCGGGUAUUGGGUCGUCCUAGGCUCAUGCCUAAAAUAGGGUUUUGGUUUCGUUCGAUCCUAGGUGUCUAGAGUGGGUCUGAACACUGGUUCUCAAGCGGACAACUUGAGUUUGAAAAUACAAACAGCCAUCAGACGACUCACGUGCUAAUAAGCCGUUCGUAUUUCUAAUACAUUAUUGGAAUUGAACAAUAGGGGCCGGGACAUCCACGAAACCCCAAAAUAGUUUAAAUAAUGCAAGAAUAUACCAUGAGAUGCGAUAGUUAAACUUUACAGAAUUGAAACAUAUAAAUACAUGAACAGUUAAUCAAAAGACCAAAAUCAAACAUUUGGUUAGAACCUAGUUUCAAAUCCCCAGCAGAGUCGCCAUUUCUGUUUUGCGAAAAUUUUGACUUUUGAAAGAGACGCCACUUAAUUUUGAAAAGGAAUUAAGAAACCUUUAUAAAAUACUUUGAACGAUCCAAAAUAGAAAAAUCAUUCAAGUUUUGAAGAUUCUGAGUAAGCGGUUCCUAUUAACGUUUUAGGAAGGUGUUAGGCACCUAAAUCGUUUGCUAACUUGCGGUUAUCCAGACUGUUUGAAAAUCAUCUUUUGAUUAACUUCGAAAAGAUUAAUUUUGUCAAAAAGUGAUUGAUUUUUUGGAAAGAAAACGAUUUUGGAAAUAUUUUGGUGUUUAUGCAAAACUAGUUUUUAGCGACUUAACUAAGGAUUUAACUAGGUUCGCAAAGUACAUAAGGAAAACAAGCAUAAAGAAGAGGGGAAGGGUAGGAAGUAAGUGAUUUAGGCCAUUGGGCUCAAAUCAAUAAUACCAGUCCUAGUCUAAUUGGACUUUCGACCCAUUUCACCUGUCCUAGUCUAGUUUUCAAGCCUUUGGCUCGAAUCUUGCUCCACCUGUAUUAGUUUUACAAGUUUCGCUUUGAGGCCCAAAUGAAUGAAUAAAGAAAUAAAUGGAUAAGUAAAUAGAAGAUGACAAUAAAUAUCUAAAUAAAAUGACAAGAAAAGAAAGUGAGACUCCUGAGUCUCUUCGUCACUUCGAAUAUGGAUUUCAACCCAUUUUUUUCUUCUUUCGACUCCUUGCGUCCGUAUGCCAUGCGAUGGAUACUUAGAUUUUCUUUUGGCUUAACUCAAAAGGAUAAGCCUCAUUGGCCCAUGAAUAUACAAGAGGGAAGGAUUCCAUGAAGGACUCAAGUGAUUUCUAUGCAAAGAGAGAAUAAAUAAAGCACAUUAGUACAUGAUCGAACAAAGGAGGGAGUGAGGAAAAUAAAGUGAAGGGAGUUAACACAUGAUCAGUCAGAGGUAGACAAAACUAAAGGAAAAAUGCAAAUUUAAUUAAAAAACUAGCGACAUGGAAUGGACUUUACAUAAUCAAAAGUCAAUUAAAAAUAGUAGGAACUAUUCAUGUUACUUCAAACAAGUUCAAUCGAAAUAGGCGAAUUAGCAACAGUUAGAACACAAUUACUUAAGAAAAGAAAGAAAAUACUAAUGGAACUAGUACAUGAUUAACUAAGGGACAACCCAACAUCCACAGAGAAAAAACACAAUCUGAGCGAUGACGUGAAAAUCAGAAGUACAAUCACGGGAUAGUAAUAAACUAAAAAGGGACUACACAGAAUUGUAUUGAAUUUGAACAAAGUUGCCCAGAGGAAAUUAACAAAUUCUUCUCUGGGAUGCCAAUGGAUAUUAACAAUUAUGUCUUUCUUCUAUACUCAAGCUAAGCAGAGUAAUCAUACAAUCUCAAGAGAGUAGGAUUUUCAAAUAAAAAUCUAAAUUUUACAGGUGAGACAGUGAAAACAAACCAUGUGACAAAACGAUCAGUAAAUUGGACUGUCUUCGACAAGACAAAAACAAAUGAAUAAGGAUGAUUUUCUUCAAAUAAACAAUCAAGUAUCUAGUAACCAUAAAACACAACCACACCUAUCAUUCUAAAUCGUUACUAAUAAUGAACUUAAAGAAAGAUGGAAAUCAAACUUUCAAGCUUUGAUACCGAAAAAAAUUAUCAGUCUACAAAAGGGAAUUGACAGGACAUACCAAAAUAAUUUCUCUUAACAUGGAACAAAUCCCGCACAAAAUUAGUGUAAAAUUCAUCAAGGCCCAAUUUUACCAUGAGUAAUCAAUCAUAUUACCAUUUCUUGAACCUAGCCGUACCAAUUUCACCAAUGGGAUAAAGCAUAAUCUAAACACACGAGAAGACUAUUUUUCAGCAGCUCACAAACAACCUAAAGUGAGAUUCUUUGACCCAUGUGACAAGAAUAUAAUCGCAACCAACCUACAACCUCCAAGGCCCCUACAACAAGCAAAUCCCAACAUACGAAAGGGAAAAAUAAAACAAUUUGGUAUCAAGGUAUACUCAGGCGAAGUAACAUUCAAACAUAACUUUUUUUUUCUUAGAAAUGAAUACAGAAUCAAAACUUUGAGGCAAAAGGGAAAACAAUUAAAGCAACAAUGUCACAAACAAAUCCUAGGGCCAUCAUAGCCAUCUACAACAAACAAUCCUGCCUUAUUCACGAUUACGACCAACAACUAUGGCUACGAAGAAAGAGAUGAAAGCAGAAAAUGAUAAACUUAAAGGGACGAGAGUAUAUUCACCUCUUUUGGGGAAGCAAAACAGGACAACGAACAGGUACGGAGAUCACAACCACCAGGAAACUUCUUCACAGUCAACUGAAACUCUAAUUUAGCCGAUGAACAAGAAUAGAAUUUCUACUCGAGACUGAAUUUUCUCAAGAAUUUUCUUUCUCUCCUCUCUCUCUAAUUUUAAUUUUGUUCUCCUAGAAGAUUCCUUGAUCUCCUCUUUUUGAACCAAAAGAAUUUUUUUCAACCUAGUUUUCUCAAUCAAUUUCCAAACCCUAGAAUUUCCAACCCUUUAAUUUCAAGCCUCCAAAGAACCCCCCCUAAAAGCUCAACAGCCAGCUCUUUAUAUAGAGUACCAUUGAGGGUAUUUUAGGGAUUAUUUUUCCAAAGGGAAUUUAAAAUUUUCACUCCCAAUCGGAUUCCCCCUCAAUAAAUUAUACCAAUUUUAAAAUUGGUGGACCAAUAAGAUUUAGGCAAAAUGAAUUCCCUCGAGAACCAAUAGAAAUCUACCAAAUAUGUACAAAAUUGUACCAUUGUUAUCAAGAUUUGCGGAAUUGAUCCGUUGGGGGAGACACCUGGACUCAUUCUAGAAAAUUCUCAAGCUUUCUUCAUACAAAAUAAUGUAAGAGCCAUGUGACGCAUAAAAGAGAGGGAAAAGGGGAUGGUUUGAGAUCAAUUUUGGGUCUAAAAUCGAGUCUGGAAUAGGUUCAGUUCGAGUUACGGGUUGAAGAUAUGGUUGCGAACGGGUUGGUUCUUGGAUUGUGGGUCAUCUAAUUCGCGAUGUUGGGUUAGAUUGAGACUAGUUUUGGCGAUAUUUUGGAGUUGUUGUUGAUGAUGAGUCUAUUGGUAUUGUCGACUUGAUCAUCGUUGUUCAUCGAUGUUGUUGUCUUUGCUAUUUGCUGAUGAAAAGGGAAAGAAAUGGGUAUUUGGUCGGGUCGCUAUUAUUGGUUUGGGCUAGGAAAGAGAAUGGUGG